AUACGGAGGGUGCAAGCGUUGUUCGGAAUUACUGGGCGUAAAGCGCGCGUAGGCGGCUAUUUAAGUCAGAUGUGAAAGUCCACGGCUCAACCUGGGAAGUGCAUUGGAAACUGGACAACUUGAGUACGGGAGAGGGUAGUGGAAUUCCGAGUGUAGGGGUGAAAUCCGUAGAUAUUCGGAGGAACACCGGUGGCGAAGGCGGCUACCUGGACCGAUACUGACGCUGAGACGCGAAAGCGUGGGGAGC
rnacentral:rRNA from 1 species